CACUGGGACUGAGACACGGCCCAGACUCCUACGGGAGGCAGCAGUGGGGAAUUUUGGACAAUGGGCGCAGGCCUGAUCCAGCAAUGCCGCGUGCAGGAUGAAGGCCUUCGGGUUGUAAACUGCUUUUGUACGGAACGAAACGGCGAGCUCUAAUACAGUUUGCUAAUGACGGUACCGUAAGAAUAAGCACCGGCUAACUACGUGCCAGCAGCCGCGGUAAUACGUAGGGUGCGAGCGUUAAUCGGAAUUACUGGGCGUAAAGCGUGCGCAGGCGGUUAUGUAAGACAGAUGUGAAAUCCCCGGGCUUAACCUGGGAACUGCAUUUGUGACUGCAUAGCUAGAGUACGGUAGAGGGGGAUGGAAUUCCGCGUGUAGCAGUGAAAUGCGUAGAUAUGCGGAGGAACACCGAUGGCGAAGGCAAUCCCCUGGACCUGUACUGACGCUCAUGCACGAAAGCGUGGGGAGCAAACAGGAUUAGAUACCCU
rnacentral:rRNA from 1 species